GCUGGAAGCCUCACUGGGAGACUGAGGCUUUUAAAGCCAAGUCCGCGCAGUGCUCAAGGAAUCGACUAAGUGAGAAAGGUGGUGAAGGAUCUGGUCCCUCACGCCAUACAGGAGGCUCCAGAACUCAUCGAGAACAUGCAAAAAUACUGGCUAAAGAACUAGGAAGACCACCACAUCCACAUGAGCUUCUGAGACGACACACAUCAAAGCGAACAAGGAGUUUGUGGACCAGAAAUCUAGGAGCACAUAUGAUGCCAUAAUGUCUAAAAUUCUGUCUGUGUCUCAACCUGAAGAUACGUCCAGUGAGCCUCCUGAAGUUGAUUUCUUACAAAUUUAUUUGGACGAAGUCGGUGUUAAGAAGACACGCAUUUAUGGUCUUGGUUCUCAAGCUCCUUUCUAUGGGCAUGUUGGUGCAUCCUCCAGUUCGAAAUCUCCGCUUCAAGAUCUAGACUUUAAUGCUCGGGUGAAUGAAUGUGUCAGAUAUCGUUUGCAAGAAAUUAAAGAAGAGAUGAAGCAUGAGAUGAGAUCAGAGAUCAGAGAAGAGAUUAGACAAGAAAUGAGAGAAGAAAUGCGCGAAGAAAUGAGACACUAAAUGCAACAAGAGGUGCGCGAGCAAGUUGAUCAACUACUCCAAAACCGUCUGUCGGUCCUCAUAGGUGGCUUACCUACACCGCCUACUCGUAGACAUGACUCGUCGUCGAAUAAUGACGCGAGUAAUAUUUAGAUUUAUUUUAGCUUCUUUUAUGUUAGACAUGUUUCGGAUUCCGCUUUCAACUUCAUGACAUAUAUUAUUAUUAUUU